GAUGAACGCUGGCGGCGUGCCUAAUACAUGCAAGUCGAGCGAACAGACGAGGAGCUUGCUCCUCUGACGUUAGCGGCGGACGGGUGAGUAACACGUGGAUAACCUACCUAUAAGACUGGGAUAACUUCGGGAAACCGGAGCUAAUACCGGAUAAUAUAUUGAACCGCAUGGUUCAAUAGUGAAAGACGGUUUUGCUGUCACUUAUAGAUGGAUCCGCGCCGCAUUAGCUAGUUAGUAAGGUAACGGCUUACCAAGGCAUCGAUGCGUAGCCGACCUGAGAGGGUGAUCGGCCACACUGGAACUGAGACACGGUCCAGACUCCUACGGGAGGCAGCAGUAGGGAAUCUUCCGCAAUGGGCGAAAGCCUGACGGAGCAACGCCGCGUGAGUGAUGAAGGUCUUCGGAUCGUAAAACUCUGUUAUUAGGGAAGAACAAAUGUGUAAGUAACUAUGCACGUCUUGACGGUACCUAAUCAGAAAGCCACGGCUAACUACGUG
rnacentral:rRNA from 1 species